ensembl:lncRNA
CUGCAGCAGGAAUCCUCCAGCACCUCUGCUGAACUCUGCAGACAUUUCCCCGAAGGGCACAGACAGCAUUAAGCAGAACUGCCAAGCUUUUUAAAAUAAUCGAGUGCAUUUGCGCACGAGGGGAAGUGAUACGGUGUUUGGAAUAAAAGGAACAAAGUUGGAAAAAAUACAAUAAAAAGCAAAUCAGCUUAUGGUAAUGGAGCAGACCCCUGGUUUGAGUGCAACGCCGUGCGGAAGGAUGGAGAUGGCUCUUGCCGUCUUGGAUGACAAGUGGAUGGCACUGAGAUCUUGGAAGCUGAAAAUGAACCCAAUGGAAAACACUGUGGUUUCUCUGUUGUCUUCAAACCCCGAGGAAAUGCAGCUGACAUAAUGUGAGCAGAAGAGACCUGCUUUGGGAAGCCAUUCGGCG